rnacentral:rRNA from 1 species
GAUGAACGCUGGCGGCAUGCUUUACACAUGCAAGUCGAACGGCAGCGGGGGCUUCGGCCCGCCGGCGAGUGGCGAACGGGUGAGUAAUGCAUCGGAACGUGCCCAGUCGUGGGGGAUAACACAUCGAAAGAUGUGCUAAUACCGCAUACGUCCUGAGGGAGAAAGCGGGGGAUCUUCGGACCUCGCGCGAUUGGAGCGGCCGAUGUCGGAUUAGCUAGUUGGUGGGGUAAAAGCCCACCAAGGCGACGAUCCGUAGCGGGUCUGAGAGGAUGAUCCGCCACACUGGGACUGAGACACGGCCCAGACUCCUACGGGAGGCAGCAGUGGGGAAUUUUGGACAAUGGGGGCAACCCUGAUCCAGCCAUGCCGCGUGAGUGAAGAAGGC